rnacentral:rRNA from 1 species
CGAAAGUCUGACGGAGCAACGCCGCGUGAGUGAUGAAGGUUUUCGGAUCGUAAAGCUCUGUUGUUAGGGAAGAACAAGUACCGUUCGAAUAGGGCGGUACCUUGACGGUACCUAACCAGAAAGCCACGGCUAACUACGUGCCAGCAGCCGCGGUAAUACGUAGGUGGCAAGCGUUGUCCGGAAUUAUUGGGCGUAAAGGGCUCGCAGGCGGUUUCUUAAGUCUGAUGUGAAAGCCCCCGGCUCAACCGGGGAGGGUCAUUGGAAACUGGGGAACUUGAGUGCAGAAGAGGAGAGUGGAAUUCCACGGCCCUAAAUGCGUAGAGAUGUGGAGGAACACCAGUGGCGAGCGACUCUCUGGUCUGUAACUGACGCUGAGGAGCGAAAGCGUGGGGAGCGAACAGGAUUAGAUACCCUGGUAGUCCACGCCGUAAACGAUGAGUGCUAAGUGUUAGGGGGUUUCCGCCCCUUAGUGCUGCAGCUAACGCAUUAAGCACUCCGCCUGGGGAGUACGGUCGCAAGACUGAAACUCAAAGGAAUUGACGGGGGCCCGCACAAGCGGUGGAGCAUGUGGUUUAAUUCGAAGCAACGCGAAGAACCUUACCAGGUCUUGACAUCCUCUGACAAUCCUAGAGAUAGGACGUCCCCUUCGGGGGCAGAGUGACAGGUGGUGCAUGGUUGUCGUCAGCUCGUGUCGUGAGAUGUUGGGUUAAGUCCCGCAACGAGCGCAACCCUUGAUCUUAGUUGCCAGCAUUCAGUUGGGCACUCUAAGGUGACUGCCGGUGACAAACCGGAGGAAGGUGGGGAUGACGUCAAAUCAUCAUGCCCCUUAUGACCUGGGCUACACACGUGCUAC